GAUUUCCAUCUGAGAACUUCGUUGCAGGAAACACACUCUGGCAAGCUCUUUCCCCUCCACUUUCCCCACAAACCCAGGAACAGCACAAAGAGAAAAGAGAAAGCAGAUUUGCCUUUCCAGCCAGGGCCCAGGAAGAAAGCAAUGCUGCCUCCAAGCUCCUCCUAAUCUCUUUAGAAGGGGACUUGCUACACCCCCUCACACUGCCAGAAGUGGUGGGGCUCUCAAUCCACACCGCAGCAUACCAAAACGCUAACUGUUUGCAGAAAACAAGCUGAGUGUGGUUAGAAAAGGGCAGAGGAAAAUGCCCAGGGGCAAACGGGAAACGGUGAGCCAACCGUGAGCAAAGCGCGACCCAGCGGAAAGGCUUUGCAGCGGAAGGCUCCAGCGCCUUGCGAAAAGUCUCUCAUCUUCUUGGCCUGGUGGCCAAAGAAUGAUGUUAUCCUGAAACCUCUGCCCCCGAUGCCAUGGAGACCACAGGAUCCUGGGAUGACCAUCUAGAUUUCUACUUGGCUGACAGACAUCAUCUAGGGAUUACCUGUGGACUGCAAACUGCUGAGCUCUAGACUUGGUGAAAGCUGAUGUGAACCACUGCAGCCGAUAUAAUUGUUCCAUUUCUUCACCUGGAUCAGCUAAUCAGAUGCUUCUGAUAAAUGCCCUAUUACCCAGCCUUUAAUGAGCCCUUCAGCCUUCCUGGGACCUAACAAUGGUGCCCUAGUUUCAGUUGGAAGUAGUUACAAAAGAGAGUACAUCACCCCUUGCUCCGUAACAAGCUGAAAUGCUAAGUCAAAAGGAAACUCCCUGGAUAAGGGACAAAGUGGCUACUUAUAAUACCAAUUGACAUACCAGGAAUGUGGGCACAGAUUUGUCAACUUGGUAGAUUCAUGAACUGAAAUAGUUCUACAAUAUGAUAGGACAUGUGGCCUGCUUCAUGCAGAACAAAGAGGCAUCAUAUGGCUUUAAGAGAAAAUUGUUAUUUCUGUACAAACCAUUCAGGCUUAUAAUCUGGCUGUACUCAAAAAAAUAUUAUGAAAAGGGGACCUGAGAUAAAAUAAAUUACUGGUGCCCCAUCCAUUUCCAGGCUCCUCCUAGACAGUAACUCUGAUGUCAGUCAUUAUACAACCUUUAGCCCUCUGCUUCUGCUAUUUACUGUUGGCUCUUACAUCAUUGAUACAAUAAUUAAAUAAUUCCUCUCUGGUACCAUUAAGCUGAUGGUUAUAGAUCCCAUAUAAACAAGUACCCAUCACAGAGUCAAGGAUUUGACCCAGGAUAUAACUCAAGGGGUGAGGGUGGGGGGAAUGAAAGACCUUGUUAACCUGUAAGCCCAACCCUCCCAAGGACCAAGUAACUUCCUAGAAUGCUGGGAGUUGUAGUUCUUGGAAAAUAACAAGGCCUCAUGGGAAGAAAAUGGUGGCAGUAUGGGUUUGUUUUUAUGAGUCCUUGUAAAACAUGUCUCAAGGCCACUCAGCUGGGAAUUCCAGGGAGUGGUCCCAACCAAAGUGCAUCUUGGUCAGAAUCAAAUUAAAGAUUGCUUCAAAUUUGGCUCAAAUGGAACUGGUUUUUCUCUGGCAAAUCCCAGGAUUAACAACUAACUUGGUAUAUACCUCUAUACUAGCAUAAGUCACAAAGCAUGUGUAUAGUAAAAUGCUAGCAAUAAAAAGUAGAAGGGUAAAUCAGCCUCAAUGAAAAUUCUGUCCAUUUUCUUUAUACUCUUUGUCCAAAAGGUGUAUAGUAAAAGUUCAUUGUGGGUUUGGUUUGCACUUGUCAUAUGAUUUACAAUGUUGACUAUAUCUAAUAUGUUGGGCACAUGUAUGCUAUGUUUGUAAAAAUGUUUACCCAAGUUCUUUGUCCAUUAUCUAAUAGUUAUCUGAACUUUUGUUGUUCUAU